rnacentral:rRNA from 1 species
GACGAACGCUGGCGGCGUGCUUAACACAUGCAAGUCGAACGGAAAGGCCUCUUUCGGGGGGUGCUCGAGUGGCGAACGGGUGAGUAACACGUGAGUAACCUGCCCUUGACUUUGGGAUAACUUCAGGAAACUGGGGCUAAUACCGGAUAGGAGCUCCUGCUGCAUGGUGGGGGUUGGAUAGUUUCGGCGGUUGGGGAUGGACUCGCGGCGUAUCAGCUUGUUGGUGGGGUAGUGGCUUAACAAGGCCUUGACGGGUAGCCGGCCCGCGAUGGUGACCAGCCGCAUUGGGAGUUAGAAAUGGCCCAGACGCCGACGGGAGGCAGGCGUUGGGAAGAUUGCUCAAUGGGUGGAAAGCAGAUGCAGCAAGUCCGUGUGCGGGAGUACGGGCUUCGGGUUGUAAACCGAUUUCGCUCAUGACGAAGCUUUGUGUGACGGUAGUGGGUAAAGAAGCACCGGCUAACUACGUG